GACGAACGCUGGCGGCGUGCUUAACACAUGCAAGUCGAACGGAAAGGCCCUGCUUUUGUGGGGUGCUCGAGUGGCGAACGGGUGAGUAACACGUGAGUAACCUGCCCUUGACUUUGGGAUAACUUCAGGAAACUGGGGCUAAUACCGGAUAGGAGCUCCUGCUGCAUGGUGGGGGUUGGAAAGUUUCGGCGGUUGGGGAUGGACUCGCGGCUUAUCAGCUUGUUGGUGGGGUAGUGGCUUACCAAGGCUUUGACGGGUAGCCGGCCUGAGAGGGCGACCGGCCACAUUGGGACUGAGAUACGGCCCAGACUCCUACGGGAGGCAGCAGUGGGGAAUAUUGCACAAUGGGCGGAAGCCUGAUGCAGCAACGCCGCGUGCGGGAUGACGGCCUUCGGGUUGUAAACCGCUUUCGCCUGUGACGAAGCGUGAGUGACGGUAAUGGGUAAAGAAGCACCGGCUAACUACGUGCCAGCAGCCGCGGUGAUACGUAGGGUGCGAGCGUUGUCCGGAUUUAUUGGGCGUAAAGGGCUCGUAGGUGGUUGAUCGCGUCGGAAGUGUAAUCUUGGGGCUUAACCCUGAGCGUGCUUUCGAUACGGGUUGACUUGAGGAAGGUAGGGGAGAAUGGAAUUCCUGGUGGAGCGGUGGAAUGCGCAGAUAUCAGGAGGAACACCAGUGGCGAAGGCGGUUCUCUGGGCCUUUCCUGACGCUGAGGAGCGAGAGCGUGGGGAGCGAACAGGCUUAGAUACCCUGGUAGUCCACGCUGUAAACGGUGGGUACUAGGUGUGGGGUCCAUUCCACGGGUUCCGUGCCGUAGCUAACGCUUUAAGUACCCCGCCUGGGGAGUACGGCCGCAAGGCUAAAACUCAAAGGAAUUGACGGGGCCCCGCACAAGCGGCGGAGCAUGCGGAUUAAUUCGAUGCAACGCGUAGAACCUUACCUGGGUUUGACAUGGAUCGGGAGCGCUCAGAGAUGGGUGUGCCUCUUUUGGGGUCGGUUCACAGGUGGUGCAUGGCUGUCGUCAGCUCGUGUCGUGAGAUGUUGGGUUAAGUCCCGCAACGAGCGCAACCCUUGUUCACUGUUGCCAGCACGUUAUGGUGGGGACUCAGUGGAGACCGCCGGGGUCAACUCGGAGGAAGGUGGGGAUGACGUCAAGUCAUCAUGCCCCUUAUGUCCAGGGCUUCACGCAUGCUACAAUGGCUGGUACAGAGAGUGGCGAGCCUGUGAGGGUGAGCGAAUCUCGGAAAGCCGGUCUCAGUUCGGAUUGGGGUCUGCAACUCGACCUCAUGAAGUCGGAGUCGCUAGUAAUCGCAGAUCAGCAACGCUGCGGUGAAUACGUUCCCGGG
rnacentral:rRNA from 1 species